rnacentral:rRNA from 1 species
GACGAACGCUGGCGGCGUGCUUAACACAUGCAAGUCGAACGGAAAGGCCCUGCUUUUGUGGGGUGCUCGAGUGGCGAACGGGUGAGUAACACGUGAGUAACCUGCCCUUGACUUUGUGAUAACUUCAGGAAACUGGGGCUAAUACCGGAUAGGAUCUCCUGCUCCAUGGUGGUGGUUGGAAAGUUUCGGCGGUUGUGGAUGUACUCGCGGCUUAUCAGCUUGUUGGUGUGGUAGUGGCUUACCAAGGCUUUGACGGGUAGCCGGCCUGGCAGGGGGACCGGCAAAAGGGGAAUGAGGGAGGGCGCAGAAGGCAAACGGGAGCAAUGGGCGGGAAAAUGUGCAAAAGGGGCGGAGGGCGGGAGAAGAAACGCCGGGUCGGGAAGAACGGCUUUGGGGGAGAAAAACACUUGGACGUGAAACGAAGCGUAGUGAAGGUAAAUGGUAAAAAAGCAACGGCUAACUAAGUG